GAUGAACGCUGGCGGCGUGCCUAACACAUGCAAGUCGAGCGGCAGCGAGGGGUGCUUGCACCCUGUCGGCGAGCGGCGGACGGCUGAGUAACGCGUGGGAACGUGCCCCAAAGUGAGGAAUAACUGCCCGAAAGGGUAGCUAAUACCGCAUAUUAUCUUCGGAUCAAAGGAUUUAUCCGCUUUGGGAGCGGCUCGCGUCGGAUUAGGUAGUUGGUGAGGUAAUGGCUCACCAAGCCGACGAUCCGUAGCUGGUCUGAGAGGAUGACCAGCCAGACUGGAACUGAGACACGGUCCAGACUCCUACGGGAGGCAGCAGGGAGGAAUCUUCCACAAUGGGCGAAAGCCUGAUGGAGCAACGCCGCGGGCAGGACGAAGGCCUUCGGGUUGUAAACUGCUUUUAUAAGUGAGGAAUAUGACGGUAACUUAUGAAUAAGGAUCGGCUAACUACGU
rnacentral:rRNA from 1 species